GCCUAUGCCAGCCACAGCAACACCCAAGCCACAUCUGCAACCUAUACCACAGCUCAUGGCAACACCAGAUUCUUAACCCAGUGAGUGAGGCCAGGGAUGGAACCCACAUCCUCAUGGAUACUAGUUGGGUUCUUAAUCCACUGAGCCACAGUGGGAACUCCACAUUCUUAUUACCUAUUAUAUUUAUUAGAAUAAUUGUAUAAUUAUAUAACUAUAUGAUUGCAUAAUUGUAUAAUAUUAUAAUUAGUCCUCCAUUCUGCUUUGAAUACAUAAUUAUAAAAUAUGCUUACCCUGUUUGACACCCUUCUAAUUCUUAAAUUGACUAUAUAUUAAUCAUAGAAGUCCUAAGGAAGGAGGAAAUCCUUGGGAGAAAAGUGUUAAUAAUUUACUAGUUGCAAACUGUACUUUUACCUGUGAACAUCAGGUGGGUAAAAACAUUACUCACGGUCUUUAAUCUAAGAAUUUCUUCCAUUUUUAUGGCCUGUUCUUUGGGCUUAUUUAUGAUGGUUUGGAACAAAGAGGCAACCUUUGCCAUUGUGAUUUAUACUCUUCCAACAAAGGAAACACAGAAAGAGAUAAGAGAACCAAAUUAAAUCACGGCACUAGAUAAGAAAGCCCAAAUUAAAUCAUGACACUUAAAAAAAAAUCCAGUGAAGGUAAGGAGCUGACUGAUCAUUUAAAAUCAAAACCAAGAAGGGGACAGACACAUAGACUGAGGACAAUGAAAACAGGGAUAUUUUCAAAACCUAAGCUACAAAAUCUAGCAUUCACCAAAUGCCUUUUGUCCUAUAUCUUUUUUACUUAUGAAAUAAUGUCUAGCCUUUAAAAUACUUUAUAUGCCUUAUUUUAAUCUUUUGCCACUUGUGCUUUUGUUUAGAAGAUCAAACAAUAUACUUUGGUAAAGUGUUAACGACUGGCAACAGAUAUCCAAUAUUUUCCUUCUCUCUUUUUUUUUUUCUAUUAAUGCCAUUUAGCAAAAAAAAAAAAAUUGACCUGGACAUCUGUUUUCAUUUUUAGUGAUGCUUUUAACUUCCUUGAUGGUUGAGUGCCAAUUCUAAAACCUGAUUUGAUUUCAAGGAAAGACAACUGCCUGAGAAACAAAGAAAUUGAGAGAAUUGAGAGGAAGAGCUGCUGCCUUCCAGCGUUCCCAGUGUAAGCACUGUCUGAUGAUGGAGGCCAAAGGUUAGUUUGACAGAACAGGCAGUGAGCCGUCUGUGCGGCGGCGUUAUCUGAACAGGACCCAGCCAUACCCAGACAUACAUGAAUAAGCAUGUAUGUCUGGCCCUAGAGCUCUUAGUAAAAGGAGUCAGUUAUGACCACAGAACUAAUGGAUGCUGACUAAGGCCACCUAAGACACAACUGUCCCUUUAACAUGAUCACAGGAUCAUAUCAACACUCUUCGAUUAUGAGCACAGCAAAUACUGAAAUUAGACUUGCGGGUAAAUGCUCUAGACUUAAUUUCACAUCACGAACUCAAGAAUGCCAAAGCCUGGAUGUGGAAAUCACGUGGGAACUAUUUCUAGGCUCCACAAAGAAAACAUAAGAAUUAGGUCCACACAGAGACACACUCACAAAUAUCUGUGAUUUUUUAAAUUUUGCUUUGCCCGCAUGCCCUACACUUUGCGAAAGUAUUUACCUGUUGCAUGCCCAAUUUUGUGUAGUAUUGCCUUAUCAUUUGGUAGAAAAAUGCACAUCUUUGACAAUUUUUUACUUCCUCUAUGUGCAGAUUUCCAUGAAAACUAAGUUAAAAUGGAAUUGAAAGAAGAGGCACAGUAUAACUAAUUUUCUUCGAAACUUAGCAAUAAGCUUACUUUCAAGUUUAAUUCUUUUGUUUCUAGAACCCAAGGUAUGCAGCCUGUUUUCAAACUUAGUACAUGUAAAUUUUUUUCUUGUAUCAAAAUCUUACCAGUGGGCAUGUUUUUCUAUCAAAGGAUAUUCAGAAAUUACUUAUCUGCUCUCAUACCAAUGGCACUGCUUAAAGCAAGCUGGGCAGGGUCUCUGUCUAUAAAGAUCGGGUAUUCACAGAGCUGCAAGCUUCUGGAAUCUGGGGAUUUAAAGGGGAAAAAACACAGGAACAUUUCAUUCUGAUGUGUUGCCUUGUCUUUUUUCUUUAUGCUAUUUGGCUCCAAAUUGCUUAGGAAGUUCCCCAACACAAUCCUUUAUCCAAAAAGAGAGCCAAAUAUAAAUAUGGAAUGAAAACCAAUGUUUUACAAUCCUGGCCAACAAAAACUGGUACAAAUCGAGUAGGAUAGAUCGGUAAAUGCUAAUAAGAUAGACGCUUUUCAUACAGUACGGGCGUUUCCUAAAGUCAGCUGAGACAGCCUGGGGAGAAAAAACUCUCACGGUGCCACGUAUGGAACGUGUAAACUUGAAGCUACAGGAGUAUCAUCAGCAAGUUGGUGUGUCUGCUGUGAAGCAGGAACUCUUCUGUGAUAAUCUCGAUUAAAACCUUGACAGCCAGGUUCUUUAUUCAUCAGAAACGCAGAAAGUUAUGGCAAAUGCUGGACCAAGAUUUUCAGAGGCAUAGUUGUUAAGGAAAAAAAAAAAAAAAAAAGCAAAAGAAGGAAAGGAAGGGAGGAAAGAAGAGAGCGAGAAACAGAGAGGGAGGGAGUGGAGAAGGGGAGAGGAAGGGAGGGAGGGAGGCCAGGAGGAGGAAAGGCAAAUUUCACAGCCCUUGGAUUAAAGUUAACACAUCAAUUCCUGAC
rnacentral:lncRNA from 1 species